rnacentral:rRNA from 1 species
UGGGCGGCGUAUACAUGCAAGUCGAACGAGUUCUCGUUGAUGAUCGGUGCUUGCACCGAGAUUCAACAUGGAACGAGUGGCGGACGGGUGAGUAACACGUGGGUAACCUGCCCUUAAGUGGGGGAUAACAUUUGGAAACAGAUGCUAAUACCGCAUAGAUCCAAGAACCGCAUGGUUCUUGGCUGAAAGAUGGCGUAAGCUAUCGCUUUUGGAUGGACCCGCGGCGUAUUAGCUAGUUGGUGAGGUAAUGGCUCACCAAGGCGAUGAUACGUAGCCGAACUGAGAGGUUGAUCGGCCACAUUGGGACUGAGACACGGCCCAAACUCCUACGGGAGGCAGCAGUAGGGAAUCUUCCACAAUGGACGCAAGUCUGAUGGAGCAACGCCGCGUGAGUGAAGAAGGCUUUCGGGUCGUAAAACUCUGUUGUUGGAGAAGAAUGGUCGGCAGAGUAACUGUUGCCGGCGUGACGGUAUCCAACCAGAAAGCCACGGCUAACUACGUGCCAGCAGCCGCGGUAAUACGUAGGUGGCAAGCGUUAUCCGGAUUUAUUGGGCGUAAAGCGAGCGCAGGCGGUUUUUUAAGUCUGAUGUGAAAGCCCUCGGCUUAACCGAGGAAGCGCAUCGGAAACUGGGAAACUUGAGUGCAGAAGAGGACAGUGGAACUCCAUGUGUAGCGGUGAAAUGCGUAGAUAUAUGGAAGAACACCAGUGGCGAAGGCGGCUGUCUGGUCUGUAACUGACGCUGAGGCUCGAAAGCAUGGGUAGCGAACAGGAUUAGAUACCCUGGUAGUCCAUGCCGUAAACGAUGAAUGCUAGGUGUUGGAGGGUUUCCGCCCUUCAGUGCCGCAGCUAACGCAUUAAGCAUUCCGCCUGGGGAGUACGACCGCAAGGUGAACAGAAAGGAAGUUAGAGGUAA